rnacentral:rRNA from 1 species
CCGCCGGCGACCGGCGCACGGGUGAGUAACGCGUAUGCAACCUGCCCGUUUCAGCGGGAUAACCCGGAGAAAUCCGGCCUAAUACCGCAUGUGGCCGAGGGGAGGCAUCUUCUUUCGGCCAAAGGAGGCGACUCCGGAGACGGAUGGGCAUGCGUGACAUUAGCUUGUUGGCGGGUAACGGCCCACCAAGGCGACGAUGCGUAGGGGUUCUGAGAGGAAGGUCCCCCACAUUGGAACUGAGACACGGUCCAAACUCCUACGGAAGGCAGCAG